CAGUAGCCACGGUAAUACGAAGGGGGCUAGCGUUGUUCGGAUUAACUGGGCGUAAAGGGCGCGUAGGCGGGUUUUUAAGUCAGAGGUGAAAUCCCAAGGCUCAACCUUGGAACUGCCUUUGAUACUGGAAGUCUUGAGUCCGGGAGAGGUGAGUGGAACUGCGAGUGUAGAGGUGAAAUUCGUAGAUAUUCGCAAGAACACCAGUGGCGAAGGCGGCUCACUGGCCCGGUACUGACGCUGAGGCGCGAAAGCGUGGGGAGCAAACAGGAUUAGAUACCCCCGUAGUCCCUGUCUCUUAUAC
rnacentral:rRNA from 1 species